CAAAUCCCUAAAAGCCAUCCCAGUUCGGAUCGCAGGCUGCAACCCGCCUGCGUGAAGUUGGAAUCGCUAGUAAUCGCGGAUCAGCAUGCCGCGGUGAAUACGUUCCCGGGCCUUGUACACACCGCCCGUCACACCAUGAGAGUCGGGAACACCCGAAGUCCGUAGCCUAACUGCAAGGGGGACGCGGCCGAAGGUGGGUUCGAUAAUUGGGGUGAAGUCGUAACAAGGUACC
rnacentral:rRNA from 1 species